rnacentral:rRNA from 1 species
UACGGGGGGAGCAAGCGUUGUUCGGAUUUACUGGGCGUAAAGGGCGCGUAGGCGGCCUGUGCAAGUCAGUUGUGAAAUCUCCGAGCUUAACUCGGAACGGUCAACUGAUACUGCUCGGCUAGAGUGCGGAAGGGGCAACUGGAAUUCUUGGUGUAGCGGUGAAAUGCGUAGAUAUCAGGAGGAACACCGGUGGCGAAGGCGGCUUUCUGGACAGAUACCGACGCUGAGGCACGAAAGCUAGGGGAGCAAACAGG